rnacentral:lncRNA from 1 species
GUUGGUUAUAGCAAGAGAAUCUCUGGCCACCAGUUGGUCUGUUGCACGUAAACAGGAUGUGGGAAUGAGUCAAGGUGCAGGAGAGCCUGUCCUCUGUCCCUAAUGCAGUUCUUAGAUGCCUAAAUAAUGUGAAUUUUAAAGACAGAGACACUUUGCUUGCACAUUUUCUGGAAAGUGAGCAGGCAGCUCAGCCACCAGUGUUAGACUCAGGGACCUCCUCCAUCAGUUCCGUGGUAGAGAAUGGAGCACUUCCGAACCCCCCAGAGGAUUGGCUGCCCUGCGCUUCCUACACAGGUACGUGGCUGGAUUUGCUUUGCUCAAGUCUACAAAUCAAUUUAGAAGCACCCUAAUCCUCCCCGGGAUGACAAACAAGAAGAAGCAACACAGAACACCAGUGAGAAAACAGCCCUGAGAUCAUUAAGUGAAGUUCUCCUUAGACGACAGACACCAGAAGACAAAGACAUUUACAGAGCCACCCUUGGGAGCCCAGUUGUCAUCUUGGCUCAGGAAGUCCCCACAUUCAUCUGCUAGGUGUAGAAGCCAUCCGGAGCUCUGCUGCGGGCCAUCUGGGACUAGAAAUUUGCCUGGAGUUUGUAAGCAGGAGCCCCUUCCAAGAGCAGAGAAAGCAUAGCCUGGGGCACGGGCCCUGUGGCUCCGGAGCACCUCUGGAAGGGACACACCCCAGGAAGACGCGCGGGGGCCCUCCUGGCCGCCUCUGGUAAGCCUUUCAGGCCUGUCUUCACCAGCGUGAAUUUGUCUCUUUCAAAGGGACGACAUUGAGGUCGGCAUGCCUACUGAGCAUUCCAUGUUUUCUGGAAAGUGAACGUACGGAAGCAGCUAACAGGACACAGACGUACGUGAGCAGAUUUAUCCUGCCUGCCUGCUGAGGAUGCCAUCGGCUGGAGGCUGAACUGCCAGCUUCACAGAUUUCCUAUAAGUUGCCCAUUAUUAAAUUUUAAUUACAUAGUUGAACUAAGAGCUUUAUGCUAAUAAAGACAAACUAGAAAUAAAACUUUCAAAAGGGACAAUUGUCCUAAUCUAUUUCACUUGGGUCUAGGGAGAUAGAUCAUUGUUUCA